rnacentral:rRNA from 1 species
GACGAACGCUGGCGGCGUGCUUAACACAUGCAAGUCGAACGGAAAGGCCCUGCUUUUGUGGGGUGCUCGAGUGGCGAACGGGUGAGUAACACGUGAGUAACCUGCCCUUGACUUUGGGAUAACUUCAGGAAACUGGGGCUAAUACCGGAUAGGAGCUCCUGCUGCAUGGUGGGGGUUGGAAAGUUUCGGCGGUUGGGGAUGGACUCGCGGCUUAUCAGCUUGUUGGUGGGGUAGUGGCUUACCAAGGCUUUGACGGGUAGCCGGCCUGAGAGGGUGACCGGCCACAUUGGGACUGAGAUACGGCCCAGACUCCUACGGGAGGCAGGAGUGGGGAAUAGUGCACAAUGGGCGGAAGCCUGAUGCAGCAACGCCGCGUGCGGGAUGACGGCCUUCGGGUUGUAAACCGCUUUCGCCUGUGACGAAGCGUGAGUGACGGUAAUGGGUAAAGAAGCACCGGCUAACUACGUG